rnacentral:rRNA from 1 species
GACGAACGCUGGCGGCGUGCUUAACACAUGCAAGUCGAACGAUGAAGAAGAGAAACGCGAACUUCGGUUCAAAUUUCACUUCGGAUUAGUGGCAGACGGGUGAGUAACGCGUGAGCAACCUACCUCUUACAAAGGGAUAGCCUCGGGAAACCGUGAUUAAUACCAUAUGACACAUUCAUAAGGCAUCUUAAGAAUGUUAAAGCUACGGCGGUAAGAGAUGGGCUCGCGUCCCAUUAGCUAGUUGGUGAGGUAACGGCCCACCAAGGCGACGAUGGGUAACCGGACUGAGAUGGUGACCGGUCACAUUGGAACUGAGACACGGUCCAAACUCCUACGGGAGGCAGCAGUGGGGAAUAUUGCACAAUGGAGGGAACUCUGAUGCAGCGACGCCGCGUGAGCGAUGAAGGAAUUCGUUUCGUAAAGCUCUGUUCUAUGGGAAGAAAAGGACUGUACCAUAGGAGAAAGCCCCGGCUAAAUACGUG